rnacentral:rRNA from 1 species
CCUACGGGGUGCUGCAGUCGAGAAUCAUUCACAAUGGGGGAAACCCUGAUGGUGCGACGCCGCGUGGGGGAAUGAAGGUCUUCGGAUUGUAAACCCCUGUCAUGUGGGAGCAAAUUAACAAGAUAGUACCACAAGAGGAAGAGACGGCUAACUCUGUGCCAGUAGCCGCGGUAAUACAGAGGUCUCAAGCUAUGUUCGGAAUCACUGGGCGUAAAGCGUGCGUAGGGGGUUUAGUAAGUCGUGUGUGAAAGGCCCGGGCUUAACCCGCGGACGGCACAUGAUACUGGGAGACUAGAGUAAUGGAGGGGGAACCGGAAUUCUCGGUGUAGCGGUGAAAUGCGUAGAUAUCGAGAGGAACACUCGUGGCGAAGGCGGGUUCCUGGACAUUAACUGACGCUGAGGCACGAAGGCCAGGGGAGCGAAAGGGAUUAGAUACCCGGGUAGUC